UGGAUUGAUUUGUUCAAGGUCUUCAGAACAGAAGAAAACCACAGCCUUCAAAGACAAUCCCCUUUUUGAGGAGUCGUAUUGCCUCUAGAACAUACAUUUACUUCAGCAGUAAAAGAAAACUCAAAAGGCUUUAUGGGCAUUUUUUUGUUAAUAAUCAUGUUUUGGGACUAACAAUCUCUGACACCAUCCCUCCACCAUCCCUCCUCAUGCCAUCAGUCACGAACACCAUUGAUGAAAAAGAGUGCUUUCAAAAAAACUUGUGUCUAAAGAACUUUGAUACCUACCAUGUCAGUAAAAAGGUAUUUUAUCGUGUGGAUUG